rnacentral:lncRNA from 1 species
GAGGGGAACUCUGGGAAAGAGAGACGGGCGGGAGAUUUGCUACUGUGAUGCGGAGAAAGUUGGACGGGGCGCUGAUUCAACACAGGACCAAAGGCAACAGGACUGAGUGAACAUGGACUGAAACCCCCCAUAGCCAGCGAAGGGAACCGCCACAUUGGCUUGCACAUGCGCAAAAUGAAGGGAGUUGCACCUCUCCGCACCUGCACGCAAGUCUGUUCAAAGUGGACCAAAACCGCUGAAUUCGUGCUCAAUGAUUCUCAUGGUUCCGUGAUGGUGCUGAAUCCAGACGGGAAAGCAGAGUGCUGUGCAUGGGAGGCAGCUUUGGCAUUUCACAUACCAUGGACAGAGAAUACGUGGAGGGAGUCACGAGGGCGAGGUACUAUUUGAAAAACAAGGCAACUGGAAGACUUUGCUCAGAGGAAGGUACCCAGGAGCUGCUGCCAAAGAGCCAAAUCUCGCUUCUUCAGCUCAGCACCGUGGAGGUCGCCAUGCAGCUCUCCACGAGUUCCAAUGUUGAAUUCUUCCACAACAUUGAGCCUAAUGAAUACAUAGGUGAUUUAUUUAAACUCAAAUAAAAAACCAGCUUAGCCAACCUGAAGAAACUUGAGGAAGUCUUUAACCAGGAAACAUUUGGGUGGCUUCUGAAAUCCUGGGAGAGACAACUAGCUGAAAGAGAAUGAAGAUCUUCAAGCCUUCAUUAAGAUUGCCUCGCACUGUAGGGAAUGCAAGAAUUUUAACUCCAUGUUUGCAGUCAUCAGGUAAGAGGACCUGUCCUAUGAGAAGCUGACUCUACAGAUUUAACUAUAUAUAUAUACACUAGUUUUGGAAUACUAUAUAAUUAUAGAAAUAUUGACU